UACAGAGGGGGCCAGCGUUAUUCGGAAUUAUUGGGCGUAAAGGGCGCGUAGGCGGCCAUGCGUGUCUUCCGUGAAAGCCCUCAGCUUAACUGAGGAAGUGCGCCCGAAACUGCAUGGCUUGAGUACCGGAGAGGAUGGUGGAAUUCCCGAAGUAGAGGUGAAAUUCGUAGAUAUCGGGAGGAACACCGGUGGCGAAGGCGACCAUCUGGACGGAUACUGACGCUGAGACGCGAAAGCGUGGGUAGCAAACAGG
rnacentral:rRNA from 1 species